AAAAAAAAAAAAAAAAAAAAAAAGGCAAAGAAGAAGAAGCAGGGUGGUUAAAUUAGCGUGCUGGAAUCUUUUCAGUUUGUCGCAGAGUAGAAAAAUAAAAAAGGGGGAAAAAAAGGCUCAGUAAUUUAAAUUUGCUCUCAGUUCAGGCUGCAUCGUUGGGUCCCGCCCCUUCUUCCCGCUGGGUUCCACUACCUGCAAGGCUGGAAUUGACAGCUACUGUGCAAACAAAAAAAGGAAACAAGCAUGCUGGGACCAUUCUGACUGCUGUUUGGGUCUCACUUGUCCUGACAACUAAAAAUCAUCAGUGGAAAGGGAAUACUCUGGGAGGUCAUGAUUGUGCACUGGGGAAAGCCAUCAAUACAACAGAUGUUGAGGCCAUAAAGAUGAAUAGAGUAAGAAUAUAACAGAGGCCCUUUGACUGGCACAGAAGAGGAUUAUACUUCCCUGCCCUUUCUGAAGUAAGGCAAAGCUAUUUGAUAUGCUUUGGCCAGUGAAAGGUAAAUAUCACUCUUUUCUCUUCGAAUCUAACUUAAUGGCCAUGAACGUGAUGCAUUUGAUGGGACCAUCUGUUUUUUUCUUCUGCCAAAGACACUCUGCACAUUUUGGCAGCUUCCCUAUGUGUACUCAAUAACUCAUGCCAAGUACAGUUGGAAUGUUUCAUGAGUCCAAAGUCUGAAAACAACUGAACCCAGCAGUGCUCAUCUGAAACGGAGUGUUGAUUUGCGGACUUUCAGGAUCAGCAACUCUUGGCCAAGAAACAAAAGCAGAAUCCUCCCAUUUCCCCCAUGGAUUUGAAUGAAAACUGCUGAUAAAACCAAGUACAACUGCAAAGGAGAUGUUGGAGAAGAACCAAGGAUUCACUAAAAUUGGAACUCAGUAUUACUGAAAACUUGAAGGCUGGAAAAAAAAGACAAAGUGUUUUUCCAAAAGUGCCAAAAUGUGUGUCUCAGUGCUCUAUGGACAGAAGUGGGCACCCAUCUUACAGACUGGCAGGAGUUACUUUGGUAGACCUUAAUGGUCUUAAAGGUCUACCAAAGACGAAUAGCUACUUAUUUUCCUUAGAUUAACUCUGGAUAUUGGCAAAGUAAUCUAAAGGGAAGUACUUCAAACUGAGAUAUUAAUUGCUUUGUUUACUCAUGUAAAAGUAUGUUCCAUGGUAGCGAAGGGACAGUGGUUAUCACAAUAGAAGAAAAAUUAAUGUGAGUAGCAUUUCUAGUUUUCCACCUUUGUGCGAAUGGACUCACUCCUUUCCUUCCUGCAGAAGCAUACCCAGACACCACGACUGUUUGACUGUCUAAGGGAUUUAAGGAACACAUUGUAAACCAGAAGAGGGGUCUAUUGAUACUAUCACAGUACUUUUGAAUUCGUCACUUCCACAUUUACUAAAUCUCUGUGAGGACUGAAAUGGACAUAAGAGUCCACGAAAUACAAUACUCAUAUUAUCGAAUGCUCUGUGUCUCAUCCAACUCUUCCUAGCCCAGAAGAACUGCUCUCUCUUUUGGGUGACUCUAAACCCUCAUUUGGCACUUUGCAUGUGAAUGUUUUUAUUUGCAUGCAUUCCCUUAGCAACAGAUUGUAAUUCAGUUCAAUCUAAUCCCAUUCAGUCUAAAAUAUUUAUUCUGUACCUAUUACAUGUCAGGGACUAUGCGAAGUGCCAGCAAUAAAUACCUGAGACAUGGUCCCUGGCUUCUCGUAAACACUUUAAUAUAUAGAUGAAGAGGCUGGCACAUGAUCCAGGUGUAGCGGGAAAAGUGCAACCAUAGAAGUAUGGCCAAAGUAACAGGUAGCAAGGCAGGAUGUGACACGGCUGAAGGCAUAGGUGUCGGGAAAUGGUCAUUACAGGUGUGACAUUUGUGAUAGGCUCUGGGAUAAGUUGAUAUCCCUUAGGCAAGUGUAAGGGAAAGAGAAUCCUAUUUUAGGCAGAAAGAAAGCAUGUGCAAAGGACUAGAACAUGUCAUAUCUGACCCAUUUGGGGAAAUGAAAGCAGUGCAGCAGCAAUAGAGCAUAAAAUUUAAAAUAGUGGAGAUCAGCAGGAGAUGAUACUUAGAUGAUUAAAGGUUUUGCAUAUUAUGCUAAAAAGCUUGGAUUUUAUCCUAAGGCCAAAGGACGUUAUACGAUGAUUUGUACAGAUUAGCAACAAAAAUUACUAUUAUUUUUUGGGUAAAGUGUGGAGAACGUUUUGGAGGAAGUGUAUGUUGUAGAAUGUAUGCUAAAACCUAAUCUGCAAUGGGGCACCUGGCUGACUCAGUCGGUAGAGCAUGUGACUCUUGAUCUCAGGGUCAUGAGUUCGAGCCCCACAUUGGGGUUUAGAGAUUACUUAAAACAAAAACCCAAUUCCCAAUGUGAUAUUUUUAGGAUGUAGGACUUUUGGAAUUGAUUAGGUCAUGAGGCGGGAGGCCUCAUGAAUAGGAUCAAUAACUUCAUAAAAGAGACCCCAGAGAGUUCUCUCUCCCCUUCUGUCAUGUGAGGACACAAGAAGAUGUCAGGAAGUGGGUACUUAUCAGACACAGAAUCUGCUGGUACCUUGAUCUUGGACUUCCCAGCCUCCAGAAUUGUGAGAAAUACAUGUUUGUUAUUUAAGAUACUCAGUCUAUGGUAUUGUUUUUAUAGCAAGCUGAAUGGGUUAAGACCAUGUAUAUGGGCAGUAGAUACAAUUAGAAUUGACUAAGGAGGAAGAAGCUGGGCAUAAGGAAGAACUAUAUAGUUGACAUAAUCAAAGAACUUGGUAAAUGAGAGGGAUGGCAAUGGAGAGGCAUCUGGAAUCAUCCCCAAGUUCCUGCAGAGGGUAUCAUGGAGAAUGCUGGUGUCAGUACAAAGAAAGGAAAGAGACAGGAGACAGAGAAGCCUUAUGGAGAGGAAAACAGAAAGUUUGUGUUGGAUCUUUUAAGUUAAAGUUUUUCCCAUUUCUACUGGUGGGAUGACCUGAGACAAACGCCCAGUGGGCAAUCACAAGCAUAGAUGUGGAAUGCCAGGUAGAAGCCUGGGUGUGCGUCCCCUGAGCCCACCGCCUGGCUCUGCCACUGAGGCUAUUCAUUUCAGGUCUUUGAUAAUGAUAGUAAUGAUGGUACAAAUGAGGAUGCAGCUUUAAUCAGAUGUGUACUUUAUCAGCACAUGAGAUAGUUUAGGUAAGAAUGAAUUUUUUUUUUUUCUGAGGAUGGGCUUAAAACAUUUCGGAUGGCUCCAUUCAAUUAUUCACUCUCUUUGUCUUGUCAUUUCCUUUGAUGUGUUCUUUGUGUGCAGUGAGAGACUCUAACUAGACUCUCCUGGGAAACACAGGGUCCAUGAAGUGGGCUGAUGCUACCCACAGGGUACUACAGCUCCAGCUGUUGCCACGAGAAAAACAGCUGUCUCCAGAGCAUUAGGAUGGUGUAGUCACUCAAGACUGAGGGAAAAGAAAAUAUUGCUUUAAACAUCAUCAUCCACUCACAUUAAUCAUCCUUUGCCUCAGGCACUCUAGCAGGUGUUGGGUUAUUUAUUUAUUUAUCUCUGUUCCAGCAGACCAGUGAUCUAUCCAGUUCAACAUGUAAAACCUCCAAUAACAUAGUUAUCUAUAUGUACUGAGAACAGAAGUAUUAAUAUAUUGUGAGAACCGUAAGAAAACUUAUUGAAGGUACUCAAUUAUAUUUCGGAGAGACCAUUCUUACUGGAAAACAAUCAACUGAUUUCCGCAUAUUAGAUACUUUCAUCAGGUGGUAAUAUGGGAUCUAGAAUCGUUUUUCGGUAAAAUGGCUAUCCAAAUAAAAGAAGGCUGUCUGUCUCAUUGAAGGCAGCCAGGAAAUGUCUUUUGUCUCAUGACAUACUGGAUGGGUACUCAAAGAGCUAUUGUGACACCCAGCUUUACGGCUGGGAAACAAAUAAUGAAAGCAUGGCUAUUGGGAGAUUGGCCAUGGUCACAGUCUGACUUAGCUCUGACUGGCACCAGCCUAAACCAGGGGGGCGGUGAGGAGCUGGGAAAGCAGAAUUCAGUACUAGUAGCCAAAGGCAGAGUGAAAGAUGGAAGUCAAACAAGGAAAACCGGAAACACAGGAGAGACAGGAAGAGCUAUAGGAGGAAAAGGUGUCAUCAAAAGGAACUUCCUUCACCUGAUCAUACCUUAUUCCUGACUGCUUUUGUCAACUUUGCUAGGCUUAUUUUUUGUUGUUGUUGAAAUUUUUGUUUGUUUUUGCCCUACUUAUUCCCUACAUUCUUUUGGUCACUUUUCAUUUUCUAGAAAAUGAUGGUUAAAAUGUAUUUUAUCAAGUAAGUAAAUUUUCUUUAGGUUUUUAAGUAUUUAUCGAAUGAAUCUCAAAUUUGAAGUCUCUGUGUGGGAUCAGUACUAUGGGGAUUCAAACAGGUAGUGUGCCUUGCCUCUACCUUGGAUAGGAUUUAUAAUCUAGUGUGGAAGAUAGAAUAUGUAUGUAAAUAAUUACAUUGCCAAGUGGAAUGAGAAGGACUAAAUGUCUGAAGAGUACAAUGGAAGCUCAGCAGCAGAAGGAAUUACUCCUAGAUGAGAAACGAGAAAAGGAUAUAGUGGCAACAUUUUUAGCUGGGCAAUGAAAUAUGGUUAGCAUUGUAGUAGGCACAGGCAUACAGGGAAAUGCAUGAGCAAAGACCCAGCAGUGGCAAAGCAAAUAGCAGAUUAAAACAGCAGAUUAAAUAUACAAAUUUAUGACAAAAUUGUCUGGAUAGAAUUUGGUAAUCUUAAAACCUUUUUUUUUUUUUGCACAUGAAUUUAAUUUUACCAUCCCCAUUAUUUUCUCAGAAAAUACCAAGAUCCUAAAUUAAAACUCUAUAUAUUUAGUUAUUAUAUGAAUUCCAACAAACAUUCAAAUAUUUUUAAAGCUCUGUAGAUAAAAUAUAGGCUCAAGUGGUAUUUGAUUGACUUUGGAUAAUUAUAGUCAUAUAUUUAUUCUUUUGACUUAUCAGUUGAGACUUUAUUAGGCAUGGUUCUUCAAUUGUUUGUAGAGGAAACUAUUAUAAUGGUAAUGUGGACUUUUUGCAUUAGGAACCUACAAAGUUAAAAUCGCUUCAUUUAAAAAUAACUUUAUAUUAUGCAAAUUGUAGGUUAUCAUUUUUGUGAGUGAAACUGGGUGAUAAUGUACAGAUAAAGCAUAUAUGUCCAAGUCUACCAUUUCAUAAAUAAAUGGACCCAAUGAGUAUCUCUUUUCAAGAAGUACCUGUUCAGUAUUUCACCUAUGUUUAUGUUGGAUUGCCCACCUUUUUCUUAUUGUUUUAUAAGACUUCCUUAUAUAUUCUGUAUAUGAGUCCUUUAAAAAACAUGUAUUACAGAUAUAGCAAAUUCUCAUUAUUUGCAAUAAAUUAUGUUCUAUAAAGUCACAUAAGCACUGAAUUGGUGAAUGCUGAAUCAUUGCUCCUGGGGGACAUACAAGAUUGGGUUCCUAUAAGACUCUAGUCACAACAUUUUUGUCAACUGAUCAAUACAUUACCUUGUUUUAUGUAUUUUCUGCUUAAAGACACCUCAUCUGAUAUGUUGUUGAUUCAUUAGCAUGAAACUCACAGCCAAAAGUACCGUAACUCAUGCCUACAGAGUUUGCUAACACACUUUCCAUGUAAAGCACAAAACAGCCCUUCCCUCACUUAAAAACACUAAACAGCACUUCAGCACUAGGCGAUGCAGGCCAUUUGAAAUGACAAAAUAACAAAACAAGUUCGGCAAUGCAAAAAAUGUGGUACUACAUAUACUGCAAAAAGGACACUUGCUGAAAUAAGAAGGCAGUGUAUCUCUUCGUUUGACCUUAGCUGGGACCAUGCAUGCUGGGCAACUCAAAUUUUCUGUUACUCUCUUCAUGUCUAUGGAUGACCUUAACCGCACUGGCAGUAUUUAAUUUGAGGUUACAAAUAAAUUUUAGUGUAAAGCAAAUUCACAAGUGUGAAAUCCACAAAUAACAAAGAAUGACUGUACCUUACUCUGUAGUUUGCUAUUUUAAAAUUCUCUUAUUGUUGUCUUUUAAACAGAAGCUCUUAAUUUCAAUAUAGUCCAGGUUAGUAAGAUUUUCCUUCAUGAUUAAUGCUUUAUGUGUCAUGUUUAAAAGAUCUUGCCUACCUCAGGAUCAUGAAGAGAUUCUCCCAUAAUUUCUUCUAUAAUUUUAAUAUUUUGCCUUUCCACAUUUAAAUGCGUAGGUCCAUCUGGAGCUGAGUUUUAAUAUAUGGUAGGAGAUAGGUCUUAUAGUAUUUUUUUCCUUAUGGAUAUCCAAUUGAUUUACACACUUAUUGUAAAGAUUAUCCUUUCCCCACCACACUACAGUAUCAACUUUGUUAUAAAUCAUUUGACUACAUAUGUUUGUCUACUUGUCAAUUCUCUGUUCUCCAUCUAUCUAGGCAUCUGUCCUUGUGCCAGUAGAACACCAUAUUUUAAUUACUGUAGGUUAAAAAUAAGUAAAGGCAAAAAUGUUUUUUUAAAAGUAUUGGCAACUAUUAGUAUAAAACUUAACUUCUUCAAGACUAUCUUAGCAAUUCUGGACUCUUUGCAUUUCCACAUAAAUUUUAGAAUAUGCUUAACAAUAUUCCCAAUACAAAGAAGAAGAAGAAGAAGAAGAAGAAGAAGAAGAAGAAGAAGAAGAAGAAAGGGAGAAAGAAAGAAAGAAAGAAAGAAAGAAAGAAAGAAAGAAAGAAAGAAAGAAAGAAGUAGAGAAAUACUGUGGGGUUUGAUUGAGAUUGCACUGAACCUAUAGCUUAAUUUGGGAAGAAUCUGAGAUAUUGAGUCUGCCAAUCCAGGUACUCAAGGUACUUAUUUAUAUUUUCUUUAACUGUACUCAGCCACAUCUAGAAAUUUUAGUAAAGAAUUCUUUCACAUGUUUUGUAUUCAUUUGGUGCUUUCUGAAGCUAUUAUAAACGGAAUUUUUUAAAGUUAUUUUUUGUGUUUUGCUAAUAUAUAAAAAUAUAACUUUUGCAUAUGGGCAUUGCAUCCAAUAACCUUUCUAAUUUCACUUAUUAAUACUGAUGUUUUUGUAGAUCUUUGUGUUUUUUACACAGACAAGUUUCUGAUGUGCAAAAAAAUGGUAUUCUGUUAUUUUCCCCAUCCUUGUAUUUUUUAUUUCUCUGUCUUGUCUUAUAGCAAUUGCUAGGGCCUAAAAUAUGAUAAAUAAAACUUGUGAUAUGGGCUGUCUUUGUCUCUUUCCCAACCACAAGAAAAUCUAUACAAUAUUUCACAAUUAAUUAUAUGUUUGCUAUACAGUAUUUCUAGAUUUUUCUCCAUCAGAUUAAGGAACUCGGUGUCUAUGACUGAUUGGCUGAGAGGUUUUUGGCCUAAAUAAAUGUUGAAUUUUAUCAAAGACUUCUUCUUCAUCUCUUGAAAGAUAUGAUUUUUCUCCUUCUUUAUUCCUGCCAAUGUGGUGAAUUAUACAAUUAACUAUGAAUUCCUGAAAUAAACUCAACUUGGUCAAGAUGUAUCAUCCCCAUUACAUAUCACUAGAAUUUGUUUUUAAAUUUUAAGAUUUUUGCAACUAUGCUCAUGAUAGGUAGUAACUUAUAAUAUUUCUUUCUUAUAAUAUCAUUUCUAAUUUUUGGUAUCAAGAUUAUUGUUUCAGAUUGGAUUCCCCAGAAAAAUUUCAAGACAGAAAUUUGCCUGCAAAUGAACUCCUUUGGAUGAGUGAGGAAAGGGGUAGUGGGUAAAAAGGAAGCAUUUGUUGUGAAACAGUCACAACAGAGGCCUCAGACAACCCAGAGGAGUUCAUGACCCAGGAUGGUCUUCAGCAUUCUUCUUCUGUAAAGUCUGUGGGCUGGGCAUUUACACCAUUCUCUUUGGUCACUAGAAAUUCCUCUAGGGAUACUAAACUGAGAGCUAUCAGCUGCCAACACUGAAAUCAAUGAGGGAAUCAGUGACUGUCAAGAAUUUAGUAUGGCAUCCACUACAGUUUUGUUGGCCUCAUAAAAUGAAAUGAUGUUACCUCUUUUUAUAGCCUCUAUGAUAUUCUUGUUCCCUUCCAUGUUUGGAAGAAUUCACUGGUUAAUAGAUGUGAAUGUAGGAAGAAUUUAAAUUACAGAUUUAAUAUCUUUAAUAUGGGUAUAAGUCUACUCAGAUUUUCUAUUUUUUGUGCCAAUUUCAUGACUUGGUUUUUCUAGAAAUGAGACAUUUCAUUUAUAUUUUUCUAUUUAUUUGGGUUAAUAAAAUACU